CUUUAGUUCAGUUGGUUAGAACGUCGGAUUGUGGUUCCGAAGGUCGUGAGUUCGAAUCUCACAA
rnacentral:tRNA from 1 species